rnacentral:rRNA from 1 species
GACGAACGCUGGCGGCGUGCUUAACACAUGCAAGUCGAACGAAGUGGCGAACGGGUGAGUAAUACGUGGGUAACCUGCCCUCCUUUUUGGGAUAAGCCUUGGAAACGUUGUCUAAUACCGACUAACAGGGGCUGGUCUCGCGGCCUUUCAGCUUGUUGGUGGGGUGAUGGCCUCCCAAGGCGGUGACGGUGAGCCGGCGUGAGAGGGUGAUCGGACACAUUGGGACUGAGAAACGGGACGGAGUCCUGCGGGAGGCAGCAGUGGGGGAUAGUGCGAAAUGGGAGAGAGCCAGAUGCGGGGACGGCGCAUGGGGGAUGAAGGGUAAAGGGUUGUAGAUCUCUUUGGCUAUCGAACGGGUAGGUGGAGAAGAAGCGACGGCUAACUACGUGCCAGCAGCCGCGGUAAUUC